rnacentral:rRNA from 1 species
CGGGAACUCAAAGGAGACUGCCAGUGAUAAACUGGAGGAAGGUGGGGAUGACGUCAAGUCAUCAUGGCCCUUACGACCAGGGCUACACACGUGCUACAAUGGCGCAUACAAAGAGAAGCGACCUCGCGAGAGCAAGCGGACCUCAUAAAGUGCGUCGUAGUCCGGAUUGGAGUCUGCAACUCGACUCCAUGAAGUCGGAAUCGCUAGUAAUCGUGGAUCAGAAUGCCACGGUGAAUACGUUCCCGGGCCUUGUACACACCGCCCGUCACACCAUGGGAGUGGGUUGCAAAAGAAGUAGGUAGCUUAACCUUCGGGAGGGCGCUUACCACUUUGUGAUUCAUGACUGGGGUGAAGUCGUAACAAGGUAACCGUAGGGGAACCUGCGGUUGGAUCACCUCCUU